rnacentral:rRNA from 1 species
GACGAACGCUGGCGGCGUGCUUAACACAUGCAAGUCGAACGGAAAGGCCCUGCUUUUGUGGGGUGCUCGAGUGGCGAACGGGUGAGUAACACGUGAGUAACCUGCCCUUGACUUUGGGAUAACUUCAGGAAACUGGGGCUAAUACCGGAUAGGAGCUCCUGCUGCAUGGUGGGGGUUGGAAAGUUUCGGCGGUUGGGGAUGGACUCGCGGCUUAUCAGCUUGUUGGUGGGGUAGUGGCUUACCAAGGCUUUGACGGGUAGCCGGCCUGAGAGGGUGACCGGCCACAUUGGGUCUGAGAUACGGCCCAGACUCCUACGGGAGGCAGCAGUGGGGAAGAUUGCACAAUGGGCGGAAGCCUGAUGCAGCAACGCCGCGUGCGGGAUGACGGCCUUCGGGUUGUAAACCGCUUUCGCCUGUGACGAAGCGUGAGUGACGGUAAUGGGUAAAGAAGCACCGGCUAACUACGUG